AACGAACGCUGGCGGCAGGCUUAACACAUGCAAGUCGAGCGCCUCGCAAGAGGAGCGGCAGACGGGUGAGUAACACGUGGGAAUCUACCCAUCCCUGCGGAACAACUCCGGGAAACUGGAGCUAAUACCGCAUACGCCCUUCGGGGGAAAGAUUUAUCGGGGAUGGAUGAGCCCGCGUUGGAUCAGGUAGUUGGGGGGGUAAAGGCCUACCAAGGCGACGAUCCAUAGCUGGUCUGAGAGGAUGAUCAGCCACAUUGGGACUGAGACACGGCCCAAACUCCUACGGGAGGCAGCAGUGGGGAAUAUUGGACAAUGGGCGCAAGCCUGAUCCAGCCAUGCCGCGUGAGUGAUGAAGGCCUUAGGGUUGUAAAGCUCUUUCACCGAUGAAGAUAAUGACGGUAGUCGGAGAAGAAGCCCCGGCUAACUUCGUGCCAGCCGCCGCAGUAACAC
rnacentral:rRNA from 1 species